GAUGAACGCUGGCGGCGUGCUUAACACAUGCAAGUCGAACGAAGCACUUUAUUUGAUUUCCUUCGGGACUGAUUAUUUUGUGACUGAGUGGCGGACGGGUGAGUAACGCGUGGGUAACCUGCCUUGUACAGGGGGAUAACAGUUGGAAACGGCUGCUAAUACCGCAUAAGCGCACAGCAUCGCAUGAUGCAGUGUGAAAAACUCCGGUGGUAUAAGAUGGACCCGCGUUGGAUUAGCUAGUUGGUGAGGUAACGGCCCACCAAGGCGACGAUCCAUAGCCGAGCUGAGAGGGUGACCGGCCACAUUGGGACUGAGACACGGCCCAAACUCCUACGGGAGGCAGCAGUGGGUAAUAUUGCACAAUGGGCGAAAGCCUGAUGCAGCGACGCCGCGUGAGCGAAGAAGUAGUUCGGUAUGUAAAGCUCUAUCAGCAGGGAAGAUAAUGACGGUACCGGACUAAGAAGCACCGGCUAAAUACGUG
rnacentral:rRNA from 1 species